rnacentral:rRNA from 1 species
GAUGAACGCUGACAGAAUGCUUAACACAUCAGCAAUUGAUUGGUGGCGGACGGGUGAGUAACGCGUAAAGAACUUGCCUCGCAGCUAGGGACAACAUUUGGAAACGAAUGCUAAUACCUAAUACUGUGAGAGAGCUUUGCGUCCCAUUAGCUAGUUGGGGAGGUAACGGCGCACCAAGGCGAUGAUGGGUAGCCGGCCUGUGAGGGUGAUCGGCCACAAGGGGACUGAGACACGGCCCGUACUCCUACUGGAGGCAUCAGUGGGGAAUAUUGGAAAAUGGACCAAUGUCUGAUCCAGCAAUUCGGGGUGCACGAUUAAUUUGUCGGAAGGUAAAGUGCUUUCAUUUGGGAAGCGUUACCAACAGAAGAAGUGACGGCUAACUACGUGCCAGCAGCCGCGGUAAUAC